rnacentral:rRNA from 1 species
AUAACAGUUGGAAACGGCUGCUAAUACCGCAUAAGCGCACGGUAUCGCAUGGUACAGUGUGAAAAACUCCGGUGGUAUGAGAUGGACCCGCGUCUGAUUAGCUAGUUGGCAGGGUAACGGCCUACCAAAGCGACGAUCAGUAGCCGACCUGAGAGGGUGACCGGCCACAUUGGGACUGAGACACGGCCCAGACUCCUACGGGAGGCAGCAGUGGGGAAUAUUGCACAAUGGGGGAAACCCUGAUGCAGCAACGCCGCGUGAGUGAUGACGGCCUUCGGGUUGUAAAGCUCUGUCUUCAGGGACGAUAAUGACGGUACCUGAGGAGGAAGCCACGGCUAACUACGUG